UUUUACCUUAUCUCCUGAAGGGGCCUUGGAACCUGUUUUGCCUAUCAAGCAGGGUAGGGACCCUGACAUUUCAAUACUUCAAUAUGAAAGUCUCUUUCCAUUUUUCCUGCAGAGGGAAUUUUUCUUGGAACUUACACAGUUACACAACGAUGUCUAGAACCUCCUUAUCUGCACAUGAGUGUCUCAGACCUCUCACAUAUGCCACUGUUUCUCUAGGAGAGGUCACAUCUCAGAAAACAACAUGGACUAUUGUAUUUGGUUAUCUAAUCCCAUUUGAUAUCAGUACUACACUAUCUAGCUUCCAGUUUUCCCAUAGCCAGAACUGAGGGUUUAGGAUGUUUUACCAAGAUUCUUUCUUAAAACCAAAUGUAAGAUACCAGAUGAUGGGCAGGAAGAAGAAUGGCUUGAGGACCAGUUCUACGUCUACUUCAAUAGGUUCAUAAAAACAGGACGGAAUCUAUUUGCAUUGUCAUUUCUUAAUUCUACAUUCUUCACAUAGUUCGGCAAAAUCCAUGUAAACAUUCCACUUGACAAAAUAGGUGUAAGAGCCACCAAAAUUAUAUUUGUACUCAUCAGCCAUCCAAACUAGAUAAGAUUGAUGAAGGUAAGAAGUUCAUUCUGCAAGGAACCAGGUAUAAAUAUUUACUGAGAGAUACAGAUACAGCCUGUCAAAUACAAAAGUGAAUGCUGGGACAUACCAGUUAACUGAAAACAGACCUCUUGUUGGUAAAUUUUGAAAAAGGAUUCAAAGAGCUGAAGGUGCUUUCAACCCGAGAAGAAUAACAAUGCCAGUGACCAGCGCUUUCUCAUAAUAGACAGAUUUACAAAGAAAGUACAUGGACUAACCUAUGGCUCCAAAUGCAUAUGUGGCAGAAAAUGGCCUUUUUGGGCAAUAUUGGAAAGAGAAGCUCUUGUAUUCCCUACUUUGUCUCCCAGUUCAAGGGAAUGCAUUGCGGCAGAAAGGCUGGAUUGAAAAGAAGGAAAUGGAACGGGUAGGAACCUUAUGGGCAGGAAACUGGGAAAGGAAAUAAUAUUUUAAAAGUAAAUAUAGAAACAUCCAGUUAUAAAACAAUAAAUUUUGGUAAAAAAUAAAAAAAAGAAUGAUAUGAAAGAAAGAAAGCUGCCAAGUAAAAAGACAUCUUGACACAGAAAUCUGAAGUGUUAUUCAGAGUAAUACUAGUGGAAAGACUGAGAUGAUGAAGUCUCAACUACAAAUACUUCUCUAUCCCAGAUAUCAGUGUGAGAGACAAACUGUACUAUAGGUAUCCAAAGCGUGGAGGAGUUUAUUCAGAACUAGGGAUACAAUACUUGUUUUUCCCUUCUUCCUUAGGACCUUUUCUUCUUGAAAAAAAGAGUAAGGGUCAUGAGUUCUCAGGAAAACAACUGUGCCCUUCACAACACUUGGCUUUUGGUAUAAAGAAAUUAAUGAUAUAAACUCUCUUAUUUCAAGGAACCAUAAGAACAGAGAAGUCCAGAUAAGAACAGAGACGUGCAAAUGCUUCUGAGAGUCUCCCAGCUCCUGAUUCCCUUAUGUGGAAGACUCAGAUCAAUGCUAUCUCUUCAGCGAUAUCACUCAAACCCUACAAAGGACUCACUGAACUUUCCAAAGGACCACAUAUUUCUUCCUUGUUUUUUAUACCAGGAAAGAAGAUCAGCUUUUUUCUCCCUAUUUCUAUUCUCUUCAUCGUCUUUGUUAUCACUCCCAAAUGUGCUCUGAAGUAGAGGCCUAUUAGUAAACCCUAGAAGUACUGAAAGAAUAUCUCAGAGGAAGUUGCAGUCACAACAACACUUGUGACAUCACAGAAGAAUCUAGUGCUCUCCAGGUUAGAAGAGAGUUUUCAGGGAAUGCCUAACAAUGAUGUCACUGAAAACUGUCAUGGCCUACCUGAUGAACACCUUUCCUUACAUUGACCAGAUUCAAGUUUGCACUUUAUAGGACCUUUUCUUCUUGCGAAAAAGUGUAAAGGUCAUGAGUUCUCAGGAAAACAACUGUGCCCUUCACAACACUUGGCUUUUGGAAUAAAGAAAUAAAUGAUAUAAA